ensembl:lncRNA
AGGGAGGUGCCAAGGAUCCCGGACAGCACUGACUCUAUCCACACGCUCAUUGUUGUUACAGAAUUCAACCCAAAUAAUCAAAGCCUGAAUCGAAAACAAUGGUUUUUGUAUUUAUUAUAAUGAACCGAAACCCAACCCUGUCCACACGCCCAGUACUUAACUUUUCAACACACCCUCUUGACCAUAGUCCGGUUUCGGUAUCGAGCUGCAGCUCCCUACUUCUCAAUGCGAACGUGAGUAGAUUACCUCGAAAACAACGGUCGGACAUCUAGGAAGCAGUCUCCAGUUUGUAUUAUACCUCGGUGGUGUAGAAGGAACAAAUAUCGACCGGAUCUUGAUCGGACGACGAGAACAACAACGUGUUAAAGGUGUAACCAAGGCUUCUGAGAACACAGAGAAACAUGGCUACAGUCUUCAUCUGUUCCGUCUGUACCGAAGUCUUCGUUGGACAUAUAUCGCUGAGCUGCAAGCACACCUUCUGUGAACGUUGCCUCCAGAAGUGUAUGGACGCUGGUUGCGUUAUCUGUCCGGUGUGCGGGGAUCCAAUCACGUCGGAGAACAUCAGAGUCAACAGAAUACUAAGGGACAUGGCAGACGAAGUGAGACAGAGAAGAGUUGAUCUCAGAGUAUUGAAGAGGAAUGAGGACUUUGUGAAUAACUGGGAAACCAACAAGAAGAAGGAGAAUGUGAAAACGUCAAAGUCCUUGGUGAAGGAAGGCCUGGCUGCCAGAAAGACAGAGAGGAAGUUAAAGUCAUCUCUGACCACUGGUCCCUGGGAGGGUAUAGUUUUUGGCAUUAUGGCCUUUUAUUGCUUUAUUUCUGUUCUUACUUAUGUUGUCCUUCCUUGUGUGGAAUAUGUGUCUGUAACAAUGUCAGGAAAUGCAGCCAAGGUGUUCGGAUCCCCUUUGGUGUUCAUGUCUAUGUUUGUUGUCUUCGGUGUUGUUGCUCAUUUAGUGGAUUUUGUGUUGAAAAAGAUUGACUUAAAAUCUGUUUUAUAUAGUAAUAACUGAUUGAUUGCUUUUAUGCAGUGUUGGAGAGUCAUUGGAUGUAGCGAACUUCCUUUCCCAGCAGAGGGACCCUUUAAAACAAAAAAACUUUAUUGUCACAACCUGCUGAGGUGGUUGUUCAUCUCUUCAAAGAAGCUCCCGGUCUGAGGCACCGCAUCUCAG